ACGAUGARGCCCUGCUUGCAGGGUGGAUUAGUGGCGAACGGGUGAGUAACACGUGAGUAACCUGCCCCUGACUCUGGGAUAAGCCCGGGAAACUGGGUCUAAUACCGGAUAUGACUUCCUACUGCAUGGUGGGUUGUUGAAAGAUUUAUCGGUGGGGGAUGGACUCGCGGCCUAUCAGCUUGUUGGUGAGGUAAUGGCUCACCAAGGCGACRACGGGUAGCCGGCCUGAGAGGGUGACCGGCCACACUGGGACUGAGACACGGCCCAGACUCCUACGGGAGGCAGCAGKGGGGAAUAUUGCACAAUGGGCGGAAGCCUGAUGCAGCGACSCCGCGUGAGGGAUGACGGCCUUCGGGUUGUAAACCUCUUUCAGUAGGGAAGAAGCGAAAGUGACGGUACCUGCAGAAGAAGCGCCGGCUAACUACGUGCCAGCAGCCGCGGUAAUACGUAGGGCGCAAGCGUUAUCCGGAUUUAUUGGGCGUAAAGAGCUCGUAGGCGGUUUGUCGCGUCUGCCGUGAAAGUCCGAGGCUCAACCUCGGAUCUGCGGUGGGUACGGGCAGACUAGAGUGAUGUAGGGGAGACUGGAAUUCCUGGUGUAGCGGUGAAAUGCGCAGAUAUCAGGAGGAACACCGAUGGCGAAGGCAGGUCUCUGGGCAUUUACUGACGCUGAGGAGCGAAAGCAUGGGGAGCGAACAGGAUAGAUACCCUGGUAGUCCAUGCCGUAAC
rnacentral:rRNA from 1 species